rnacentral:misc_RNA from 1 species
GAUGAAGAACGCAGCGAAAUGCGAUAAGUAGUGUGAAUUGCAGAAGUACCGUGAAUCAUCGAAUCUUUGAACGCAAAUUGCACUCUCUGGUAUUCCGGGGAGUAUGCCUGUUUGAGGGUCGCUUAACAAACCAUCGAUUUCGUUGCUUUUUUUUUAAAGAGUGAUGUUUAUCGGAUUUGAGCCGUCUUUUUUUUUUAUAUUUAAAAGUGGCUUAAAAUUGAUUUUUUUGGUACGAUCGAAGCGUAUUUUUAUGAUCAAUUUUUGGUUAAAGAAACGCACACGUACCGUUAUUUAUAUGAUGUAAUACGUUUGACUAUUGGAUUUAGUUCAUUCGUAUACGAUAUCUUUCAAUAUUUGACCUCAAAUCAGGUAAGAACACCCGCUGAACUUAAGCAUAUCAAUAAGCGGAGGA